AGAAGACUGGUUUGGGUUGAGGCUCAAGAUUUUAAAACUGCCACCUCCCCUCCUUCUAAUUUUCAAAGGACACAAGUAUUCAGAGCUCAAGGAGCCCCCUUUAAGGGCAUGAAGCUGUAGCUGCAGAUCCUGUAAGAAUGGGAAUUCUGGGAUGAAGGCACUGUUCAGACAGUGCAGCCACUCAGAUGGCAGCACAACCCUGUGUAUGAAGUCACCCUGCUUUGGUUCCAGGCGCACACAGUGGGAGCUGAGCUCUGGUGUCGCUCCAUGGCCACAGCUGGUUUUCCACUGGCAGGAACUGCUGUGCUUGGCACUGUGCACCUGUGGCCUCCCUCCUGUACCUGCUGGAAACAUGCUCCUGCUCCAGCUGGGCACAAAGGAGACAGGAACAUGAAAAUGGGGAGCUGUGCUCUGACACUGAAUUUCUGGGGGCAGGAGCUGUGAGCAGAAUGCAUCUCAGAGGAGAUGUGUCCCCAUCGCUGAGGCUGUGCUCCUGCUCUGUGAGGGAAU
rnacentral:lncRNA from 1 species